CCUUUGAUCUAAGCAGUUAAAAAAGAAGCUAACAUACCAUACAGUUGGAAUUAAGAACAAGAUUCAUAAAGUCAUCUUAUACAUGCAGAAAAAGGUCUUGAUGCAAUAGAUAAAACAAUAAUUUCAAAAAUAAUGCAGAAACAUGGCAGAGAAGGAGCCUAACCUCAAUAUUAUAAAAGCUAUAUAUGAGAAAUGUGAAGCUAACAUCACACUAAACUGAUAAAAAUUAAAGGUUUUCCUCAAAUUUCAGGAGCAAGACAUGAAUGUUGACUUUUACCACUUCUAUUUAAUACAGUUUUCAAAAGUAAAGUCAGAACAAUCAGGCAAAAGUAGAAAUUUAAAAGGAUACAAAUAGAAAAAUAAGAAGCCAAAUUCUCCCUUUUACUUGGUGAUAAGAUUUUAUAUUUCGAAGACUCAAAAAUUGUCACCAAAAAAAUUCUAGACCUGAUAAAUUUAGCAACGUAGUAGGAUAAAAGAUCAACACUCAUAAAUCUAUAGCAUUAUUAUACAGUGAUUCAGCUGAAAAAAAGAAUUCAAUAAAACCAUCACUUUCACAAUAAUCUGAAAAAACACCUGGGGAUUAAUCUAACCAAGGUGGUGAAAUAACUCGAGAAUGAAAACCGUAGAACACUGAAAAAGAAAUCUAAGAACUCAGAAGAUGCAGAGACCUACUUUCCAUGUUCUUGGAUAGGCAGAAUUAAUAUUGUCAAAAUGGCCAUGCUACCAACAGCAAAAUUCAGAUUGAAUGCAUUCAAUACAAUUCCCUUCAAAAUACAAAUGAUGUUUCUUACAGUAUUGAAAAACCAGCCCUGAAAUUUAUUUGGGAUAAUAGUAAUAAUAAUUUGACAAAGAAAUUCUGAGCAAGAAAAAGUGUUGUAGAAGCCAUCACAAUACUCAAUCUCAAAUUUUACUACAGAAAUGAGUAGCAAAAACUGUAUUGUAUUGGCCUCAAAAUAGAUAUGAAUAUCAGUAGAAUAGAAUAUACCACAUAGAGACAACCCACUUGAUAUUUAGUGCCAUCUGAUACCUGACAAGGGCACCAACAUAUAUGUUAAUGGGAGAUAAUGGUACACUGAUCCAUUGUUGGUGGGACUGCAAAUUAUUAUGACAACUCUGGAAAGCAAUAUGGAAAUUCCUGAAAAACCCACCAGUGAAACCCAUAUGACUCAGCUAUUACAUUCCUCUCUACUUUUUCAAAAGAACUACAAAUCAGAAUACUAUGGUGAUACAAUCACUUACAUGUUUUCAGCAGGUAAAUUCAUAGUAAAUACAUUGUAAGAUCAACCCAGAUGUCCAUCAACAGUUGAAUGGAUGAAGUGCCCAAAAUUCAAUGGUAACUAGAUCUUCACUUCUGGAGCUAUAGCACUGCUGAAUGGCUCAAAGCAUAUAAACUUGUACACACCAAACAAAAGAAGAAUUGGAACUCUGAAUAUAUUAGAAUAAUUAUUGAAAAAUGGACACAAUGACUGGAUUUCCACAGCACUUUGUCUGACUUUUCUUUGGGGUAAACACUGUUUGUUGGCAACAGGUGGACUCAUUUGGCCCAAGGCCUGCAGAAGUCUUCUGGAUGUUUUGACUUCUUACAAUGCUUACAUGGGAGGCAAGAACCUGGAAAAUGUGAUAAAACAGUUGUUGACUGUGCUAGCAAGAAAACAGAGUUAUCAAUAAUAAUUCAAAUAACAAUUCAAGAAACUUUAAUUGACAAGAGAUAAUUGUAAAUAUCUGGGAGUACAAUUUGAGCCUUUUAAUUUAAGUAUUCAUAAUACAAUAAUAGCAUGCCCAUGAACUUAGAUAUUUGUUGUAGUUUUUUUUUUUUUUUUCCCUGAUGAGAAUUCUUUCAUUUUAAACAACAAGAAUGAUCAUUAGUUGACUGAAAUAGGUCAGGCACAGAAGGACAAAUGCUGCAUAAUAUUGAGAGCUGUUUAUUGGAAGUGAAAAAUUGAUCUUAUAAAACCCAAGAGUAGAAUAUUAGUUUCCAGAGCAGGGGAGAGAAUGUUACAAUUGAAUAUUAGGGAAAAAAAGUUCUGGUGUACUUUUUUGCAGUCUGUGACCAGAGUUGAAAAUAACACACUCUAUGUUUCAAUAAAUUUUAGAGAGAGGGAUUUGAAUGUUAUUAGAAUUCACAGUGUUGAACUCAUUUUUCACCAUUAGGAUAGCAAAGCCCCUGAGUCAGAUUGGGCUUUAGGAUGACACUGCAAUGUGAUGAAGUUUAAAAGCCCACAAAAUGUUGUGUGUGUAAACACAUUUACUAAGGUGAAAUCACAGAACGGUAGUGAGAACAGUGACCACAAGCAGAGGCUGUGGUUGGUCAUGUGGCUUAUGUUGAAAUCCUACCUGAAUGUUACCUACCUGUGAGAGUUAAAUAAACCCCUCUGUGCCUCAAUUGCUUGUUGGAAGAUGCAAAAGUGUUCAUCUGAUCCAUGUAAUGUUAUAAGGCUGACAGUGAUCACAUACAGACAGUCUUAAGAAGACUGAUGUGUCAUGUAUGUGCUAAAGAGCCAUAUCAUUAAAUAGGAUGCUUCAUUAAAUGUGUGGAAGAAUAAGCUCAAUCUUUGACAGUGUUUGAACAGAGAGGUGUCAAACAGAUGUCAUCCUCCAGGGCAGUGGGUGAAGAAAGUCUAUUCUUCAUUCUUUACAUAGAUGGAUGUUUGUAAAGCUCAUGGAGAAUAUUUAUGACCCCCUGUAACUCCAUAUCAGCAUGAAGAUAUGGGUGGAUCAGAGUCUGUCAGCCACAAUUUUGAGUUUAGGUGUUUGAAAUUUGGAGAUUUUAUGUGACUUGCCCAGAUUCACAACAGUCAUGAGUGGUGGAUGUGGGACAGGAUUGUAGUUAUUUACCUGGGACCAAAGAUCCCUGAGCCCUUGAGUCCUCUAGUGGACACCCUGGAACUAGGAACCCAGAACUCUUCUUAGUCUUUCUUAAAUGCUUCUCCUCUCAGGCCUCCUUGGUAAGAGGCCUUAGUCCCAGAGGAUUGACUGAUCCAAGAAAAAUGUUCAUGUUAUAACCCAGGCUCCUGCCUCUUCAUUACAGUUACUGACUAAAAAUAUGAUGAUUUCAUGCAAAUGAAGUCUAUCUGAAAGUCAAUAGUAGAGUCCACACUUGUGGCCAUCAUCCCCCAGGAUCGUCUCACUGCUUGCUGCCUCACAAUGAGACUUCCUGAUGAGCAGUUGACCACCCAAAUCAUCAGAGCUCUGUAGGGCUCAGAAACUGUUUUAGAAAUUGGGACAUUCUAAACCAACUGCCAUUUGAUGGCUGUGCCAAGAAUGAAGUUUCCUUCUGCUUUUCCCACCUGGGGUGGCCUGUUAAUGUGAAUUAAUUUGGGGAAACAGAUACCCUGGCUUAUGCUUUGGUGUUUCAGUGUCGUAAAUUGUCCUGACCCCAUGUCUGCAUACUAAUAUUCUGAGCCAUCAUCUGAGCAGCCAGACAAAGGUCUGGCUGAAAACAUCAUUGCUGCAGGUACACCAACUCUGAUCAGGCAUAUUCUUGCUCCUGGCCUUAGAUGCCUCUAUCUAGACCCUGCAGAGCCAGGAGCCAAAGACUAUCUGCCUCACAUGAACCCACCAAUAACUACAACCUGUGAACCUCCACCAAUGAAUUCUCCAUAAAGAGCACCAAAGCCUUCAUUUUUUCUGUUCUCAGAUGUCCACUCCACUGACCUCAUGGCACUGUCCUUCCUGCCUCCUUCCCAGGAGCCCCCACACACCAGGGAUUUUGUAGACAUCAACCACUUGGAAACUUUCCCCAAAAUCUCAGUCCUUUUUUCUUCAUACUAAUGUCUUGAUUUAGACUUCUCUAAUAUUAUUUUUAGAUGUUAAUAUACAUUCAGAUGAGUUUGGCCUCUAGUUGCCCUUUCAUGGGAUAUAUAUUGCCAUUCUUAGCAUCCAUAUACUCUCUUUCACUUUAUUUCUUGAUCUCAUGAAAGCAAGGUGGAUGUUGUCCCCCUUUUUGUUUAUUUGCUUCAAGAGUACACAUGAUGCUGGCAUUAGGAAAUGUCCAUUUUACUAAAUUUAGAAAAAUAGUUUUGGUAACCAGGUCAAUAGAACAAGCAAAUAUAUAAAUUGAGUGAUAAAACAAAAUCACAAAAUAUUUAAAUCUCAGCAGAGAAGAUUCAGUGUGGGAAAUUAAAAAAAUCAAUAGUAAAAUGUAUUUAGUAAAUGUUAUUUGAUCCCUUUGAACAUACAGUCUUGAAAAUAUCAUUGUCAACAUACCUUCACCGCAGCACUUUAGAUUUCCCAUGACUGACUAGCAUUUCAAAAAUUCCCUAUGCUUCUCCAACUUUAACACCAACUCACUCACCACAGCAACUGACAGUUGACAUGGAAGGUAAAAUGUGCAUCCCAAAUUACCAUUAUAGAAUUUUCAUUGUGAGCACAUGUCACAUUAUGUGGUACUGCUGUUCUCUAAAUAAGCAUAUUUUACAUGUCCAAGUGUGUUGUUGAACAGUCUGUGUGUUGCUUCAAAUACUGAAACCUAGGCCCACAUAUUAAUAUUCUGUUUAUGAAAAUAAGUUAAAUCCAAAAAAAUAUUAUUCUCCCCAAAUAAUUUAAUUGAUUAUAAUAAUCUAUUGUGAAAGGAGGCAUAGCUACAAUUUUGAGAAUCAAGAGGUUCCCUUCCUGGUUUGAAAUGCCAUCCCUCCACAUUUCCCACCCUUUCUGAAUCUCCAGACAUAUGUAGAUAGAAAAAUUUAAAACUUCUUUUAGAUUCAGAAUGAAAUAUAUUCAAAGUAUUAUCAUGUAAUAGGGGAGAGAUUUUCAGGGUGGGAGAAUUUCAAGAUUACAUCCCCCAUAUUUGAAAUUUGAAAACAAAAUUAUUUUCUAUUUAGUAUUAUUUAAUUCAGUCAUUUGAAUUCAUCUUUUCUUCCAUGACUCCUGCUGAUGAAUUGGUUCUUUUGCUUAUCAUCUGACUCUGUCAUCUCAUGCCACAAGAACACAUGAUUGAAGAUGCCCAUGAUGAGGUCCAAACUAACAAAAUAUGAAAUAACUCCACAUUGUAAAGGCUAUCUAUGCUAAGCCCAAUGCAAACGUUAUUCUAACUGAGAAAAACUGGAAGCAUUUCCUCUAAAAACUGGAACAAGACAGGGAUGUCCUCUUCCACCACUUCUAUCCAACAUAAUCCUUAAAGCUCAGAGCAAUCAGAUGAAAGAAAUUAAAGGGAUACACAUAGGGAAAAAAGAACUCAAACUAUGACUAUUUUGCUGGCAAUAUGCUUCUAUAUGUAGAAGAUCCAAAAAAUCCCCCCAGAAACCUACUAGAACUAAUAAAUGAAUUCAACAAAGUAGGAGGAGAUAAAAUCACUACCCCAUAAAUCAAAUGCAUUUCUAUAAAUAAGUGAUGAAUCCACUGCAAGAAAAAGUAGGAAAACUAUUCCAUUCACAAUAGAAAAAGAAACCACAAACUUCAUUUGGAAAAAUAAGAGGCCAAGAAUAGUCAAAGCAAUCCUCUACAAGAAGAGUGAAUCAGGAGGCAUCACAAUACCAGACCUUAAACUUUACUACAGAGCCAUAGUAACAAAGAUAGCAUGGUAAUAAUACCAAAGUACACAUGUAGACAAUGGUACAAAAUAGAAAACACCACAUAAAUAUGACUAUCUCAUAUUAGACUAAGGCACCAAAAACAUAGAUUAUAAAAAAGAUAGCCUCUUCACCAAAUGAUACUGGGAAAACUGGAAAUUCAUAUGUAGCAAAUGAAAUUAAAACUCUAUCUCUCACCCUGCAAAAAAACUAACUCAAAGUGGAUCAAGACAGUAGAACAGAGACCCUGCACCUAAGAUAAGAAAAAGUAGACCAAGUACCACAUGGACCUGUGUAUACUGGAGCAGCCACUGGCAUCAAGAGAAUCAGUGUUAUUCCCUCUGUGGACCCCAUGCCAUAGAGGUGCCUCUGACCCUGAAAGCAGAUUAAGCCCAGCGUAGGUCACAGGCUACUGGACCAUCCUGCUGCUGCUAGACUUGGCAGUAGAUUCCCAUGGUAGAGGCCUCAACUGGGAGUGGACUUUAGGCACAGGAGCCUGACCAUGAAGCAGUCUGUCCAACCUGAAGAGCCUUUGGAGCAGGUAAGAAGUCUUGUAGGGAUGUGGGAGUCUCAGCUGAAGCUGGGAAUGGUUGGUAGAGAAAGAGGGCAGCAUAGGCGGCAAAAGGGAUGAGAAAGAAGGGUCAGCCUGAGAGACUGGCCUGAAGUACUGAUUUUUUAAUCCUUUGUGGGUUUGUUUGAAUUAAUUGUCAACAUUGUAUUGAAGUAUUACUUAUCUCGGUUCCUCCAGCUUUUUGCCCCAAGGAGAGUGACUCCCUCACUCCCCUUAGUCCAUUGGUAGUGUCUUCCAUUUGCACAGGGUUCAGGCUUUACACUUCUCCUUCUCCCCCUUUUCUCUUGGUUGUGCUGUUAUGUCAGCAUCCUUAUGGUUUGGCUGAGCUACUGAAGAUGGGAAGCAGGGAUCCCGUCAUCAAACUCUCAGCCAAGGAUCCUCAACCAGGGCUGCAUCCUGAGGUUGCCUCUGCCCCAGACAUGUAGAUGUAUGAUCAUGUCUUGCAUUUUGUGACACAAAGGUAAGUGCUGGGGUGGGAACCCAGUGUUUGGCCCAUGAGAAGCCCCUCUCUACCACUGAGCUACAUCCCCAGCUCUGUCCUAUGAUGGUCUAAGAGAAGGAGUGUUCUGCAAAGCCCUCCUCUGAUAAUGAAGUGAGGGUUUGGCUUGUUCUCCCCCAAAGAUAUUCACUUACUAUCUUUUUCAUAAACAUUUCCUGGGUACCAGGCCUGGAGAAAACAGAGCUGGCCUGAGCCAAGGGACAUAUCUAGUCAUGGGGGACAGACUCUUGAUCCUUUCUAGGAGUAAUAGAUCUAGAGAAGGGGUGCUUCCUCUAUGGGUUGAUGCCCAAGCUGGUCUCAGAGAUUAAUGGGUGCUAGCUAGUGAUGAGGUAGAUAAGCAGAGGUACCAGUGUUCCAUGGAGAGGGGAGGUGGGUGGGCACCCAGGGACACAGGAAGCUGUUGGGCCAAAGUAGGUAGAACACCUAGGUCUGGUAUCCCGGAUUGGUUCUGCAGUCCGGAUGCAGUCUUUGGAGGAUUUAAGUAGAAUAAUGUCAGUGUCAAAUUUGUGUUUUGGAAAAAAUGAAAGGGUUUGGAGGCUGGUGUGAGGCCAGAUUUGAGUCUAAGUACAGAGACAGAAGACAUAGAUGGGGCAGCAGCAGUGAGGGGUCUGGGUGGUGUUGAACUGGGACCACAGCCUGCUCCUGGGGAUGGAGAGAAUGUGCUGGUCCAUAUGCCAAAAUUGCUAUGAAAUUGACAAAUGAAUUUAGAGCAAUAAUACCUGGGAGGAAUGGGUUCUUUCACAGACUGUUUGUAAGGGCCUCAAUGUACAACAAAUUCAGUAAUAUGAAGCAAGUCAUGAAAGAAAAUGGGUUUAUCUAAAGUGUGUAAUUCCACUUCUUGAAAUUUAUCCUCAGGGGGAAUUAAAGCCACAACCAAAGAUUUUACAAACAAGGCCAUCUAUCUAGCUCAAUGUUAUUAACAAUGGGAGAAAAUUGGAACUAUCCUAAAUAUCCAUGAGAAAGAGUGAGACAAAGCAGUAUGGCACAUCCAUCAUAAAGCAUCUUACACAAACCCUCAAAAUUAGAUUUCUGAAAGAUGGAAUCCAGCAACAAGUUUAUGCUUAAUAAAGUUAUUUGAUUAUUGGUGUGAAUAAAGCAUCAACUUCAUCAAAACUAUUUCUGAAGCAUCUCUAAUAAUGAGAAAAUUCAUUUUUAAAAAGAUAAUUUACAGAAUGUUACCAAUGAUGAUCUUAAUAUGUGUAUGCCUUUUCAAAUGCCUCUUUUCAAAAUUUAAAGAAGUUUAUUUUUUAUUUUGUUUUUUUAAUUUUCAAUAUUAUGUCUCUUGCUUGUAGGGUUUUACUUCAUUUCAAUUUUAGUUUUAUAAGUUUUCUGACUCUAGGAAAAUUUUCACAAGAAGAAAUAUUUCAUUUUUGUCUUCCAAAAUAAUUCUAAUAAAAUAGUAACACUUUUUGUAAAUAGGUAAGUUCUUUCAGUGAAAAAAAAGAAAAGAGAGAAAGGUACAAAAUAUAUUAUAUACAUAAGUAUAUAAAGUAAGUAGAAAACAUUUUCUCUUACAUUUUUCCCUCCUACCAUCUUUCCCUAAAAACCCAUUCUACUUUCCAUGGCCACUGUCAUGUUGUUCUGUAUGGUUUGACUCUUUCAUUUUAUGUGCAUCCUUGAAAACACACACACACACACACAAUUGGUUUUGAGAUUUUACUUUUUAAAAAUAAAGUCAUACUCUGUGUAUUACCCUGCAAUUAGCUUUUUAAGCACUUUAUUAUUGAAUUUUCUAGAUUAGUCCAUAUGAAUCUAUGGUAUCCUCAAAAUAGCUAUAUAGGGAAAGUGUAGAUGUAACAGAAUUUUGUAAUCAUUCUCCUUUUAACAAUCAUUUAGAUUGUUUCCACUAGAAAAUAUGCAUGUGAUCAUGCAUUGAAUCUGGGAUGGGGAGUGAGCAUAAUAUACUUUUGAAUCUCUAAAGAUUGAAUGUCUAAAAGUAGAAAUUCUGGAUCAGCGGAAUUCUUGAAAUUUUGUAGGUAGUUCCAAACUACUUCUAAAAGGUGUUCCAAUUUAUACUCACUACAGUGAGUGACAGUGCCCUCUUUCCCACCUCCUUGACAAUAAUGUGAUAUUGUUGAUAUUUCUAUACUUUACCCAUGUGUUGAGAAUAAAUGGAAUGUGUUGUUUUAUUAUUUCUUUGAUUAUUGGUGAAAUUUUUAUCCUUUCUUAUUUUUGACUUAGUUUAUGCCGCGUCCGGCCAAGGGAGCCGAGUCCGGCGAGGGACGGCGAGGUUAAAAGACACACAGGACACCAAGGUUCUUCAUCCAGGAGUCAAUAAUCUUUAUUGCUAACACACCUUUUUUUAUACCCCAAGCAGCAGAAGUGGAAAACUACCCAAAAGCAGGAGGGAGGGGGGAGAAAUUUAGUUUCAACAUCUAUUAUUGUCAGGUACCGAAACCUCCCUUAACAAUAAGUCCAUCAGACCAGAAAAGGUCAAGGCAUUCCCGUGGGAUACAUACGUCUCAGACGGACAAGCAGGAACAGAAAAACCGCAAGUUCGCCAUGGCCUUAUGAGCUGGCCACACUGGCAUGCAGAACAAACUAGUGGAGGUAGGGCUCCAGGGGCCAGGGUGGACCUGCUGCCAACAAGUUUAUUCCUCCUGUAAAUUAAGAAGUCAUAAUGUUGCCUACUUUUUUACUCAGUUGCUUUUAUCUACUUAUACUGUCUAUAGAAACUUAACCCCAUUUUUAGCAAAUGUGUUGUAAAUAUUUUCCCUAGGUCUAUGCCGCAGUAUGGCUGGGCACAAUUCAGGAGCCACUUGUCAAAAGAAACGAACUUUAUUUUUAGAACACACACACCAAACCACACAGUUCCUCAGGAAAAAAACCUUCAGAGCCCAACUGCCACCACUGGCUUCCCACAAGCCUAUCAACCUCCCCCACUCCUCCUGCUCUUGUGGCUGAUUGGCUGGGUCGCGUGGGCAGAGCCAAAAAAAGUCCCCCAAUGAGCAGCUCCGUGGUCUGAAAGGGAAGGGAAACAGCCCAAUGAGCAUCACCGGAAAGGAGCCGAUCAGUUGGCAGCUAGAAGUUUGCUGGGGCCGCUGUAAGCCAAUCAUCAGCUGGCAGCUGGAAGUUUGCUGGAAGCUGGAAGUUUGCUGGGGUCCCUUCGGCUGUGGCUCUCAACAUCUCCCCCUCUCUGUUUAAACAACAAACAUGUGGCUUAGGGACCGUGCCUGCCUUAGGUUGUCCAAUAGUACAUAUGGUCCUUACCCGUUAUCGGAUGAGCUGACCUCAAGGCAUCAGCCUCCUGUCUUAGGUUGGUACCAUUGCAAUUGGAUCUUACCUGUCAUUGACUACCGGUCC
rnacentral:lncRNA from 1 species